GCCGGGUGUGGUGGCGCGCUCCUGUAGUCCCAGCUACUCAGGAGGCUGAGGCAGGAGAAUCGUUUGAACCCGGGAGGUAGAGGCUACAGUGAGCUGAGAUCGCGCCACUGCCCUCCAGCCUGGGUGACAGAACGAGACUCUGUCUCAA
rfam:Pan troglodytes isolate Yerkes chimp pedigree #C0471 (Clint) chromosome 2B, whole genome shotgun sequence.